rnacentral:sRNA from 1 species
ACUAAAUCAUACACAUCACAUCAAGUCAUAUUCGACUCCAAAACACUAACCAAGCUUCUUUGCUUCUCAAAGCUUUGAUGGUUUAGCCGAAGUCCAUAUGAGUCGUUGUCUUUGUAUCUUCUAACAAGGAAACACUACUUAUGCUUUUAGGAUAAGAUUGUUGUUUAAGUUCUUAUACUCAAUCAUACACAUGACAUAAAGUCAUAUUCGACUCCAAAACACUAAUCAAGCUUCUUCUUGCUUCUCAAAGCUUUGUUGGUUUAGCCGAAGUCCAAAUGAGUAUUUAUCUUUGUAUCUUCUAACAAGGAAACACCACUUAGGCUUUUAGGAUAAGGUUGCGGUUUAAGUUCUUAUACUCCAUCAUACACAUGACAUCAAGUCAUAUUCGACUCCAAAACACUAACCAAGCUUCUUCUUGCUUCUCAAAGCUUUGUUGGUUUAGCCGAAGUCCAUAUGAGUCUUUGUCUUUGUAUCUUCUAACAAGGAAACACUACUUAGGGUUUUAGGAUAUGGUUGCGGUUUAAGUUCUUAUACUCAAUCAUACACAUGACUUCAAGUCAUAUUCGACUCCAAAACACUAACCAAGCUUCUUCUGGCUUCUCAAAGCUUUGAUGGUUUGGCCAAAGUCCAUAUGAGUUCUUAUCUUUGUAUAUUCUAACAAGGAAACACUACUUAGGCCUUUUGGAUAAGGUUGCGGUUUAAGUUCUUAUACUCAAUCAUAAACAUGACAUCAAGUCAUACUCGACUCCAAAACACUAACCAAGCUUCUUCUUGCUUCUCAAAGCUUUGAUGGUUUACCCGACGUCCAUAUGAGUCUUUGUAUUUGUAUCUUCUAACAAGGAAACACUACUUAGGCAUUUAGGAUAAGAUUGCGGUUUAAGUUCUUAUACUCAAUCAUACACAUGACAUCAAGUCAUAGUCGACUCCAAAA